AUUACCGAGUUUACAACUCCCAAACCCCUGUGAACAUACCUCUUGUUGCUUCGGCGGGACCGCCCCGGGCCCCGUGCCCGGAACCAGGCGCCCGCCGGAGGCCCCUAACUCUUGUUUUCUUAUGGAAUCUUCUGAGUCAAACAAACAAAUGAAUCAAAACUUUCAACAACGGAUCUCUUGGUUCUGGCAUCGAUGAAGAACGCAGCGAAAUGCGAUAAGUAAUGUGAAUUGCAGAAUUCAGUGAAUCAUCGAAUCUUUGAACGCACAUUGCGCCCGCCAGUACUCUGGCGGGCAUGCCUGUUCGAGCGUCAUUUCAACCCUCAAGCCCCCGGGCUUGGUGUUGGGGACCGGCCGCCGCUCACCCGGUGGCCGCCCCCGAAUUCCAUUGGCGGUCUCGCUGUAGCCUCCCCUGCGUAGUAGCACACCUCGCAGUGGAACGCGGCGCGGCCACGCCGUAAAACCCCCAACUUCUGAAUGUUGACCUCGGAUCAGGUAGGAAUACCCGCUGAACUUAAGCAUAUCAAUAAGCGGAGGAAAAGAAACCAACAGGGAUUGCCCCAGUAACGGCGAGUGAAGCGGCAACAGCUCAAAUUU
rnacentral:rRNA from 1 species